rnacentral:tRNA from 1 species
GCCGUGAUCGCGUAAUCUGGUAUCGCACAAGCCUGGAAAGUUUGGCCCUUUGGGCAUCCCGGUUCAAAUCCGGGUCGCGGCG